CGUAGGGUGCGAGCGUUGAUCGGAAUUACGUGGGCGUAAAGCGUGCGCAGGCGGUUUUGUAAGACAGAUGUGAAAUCCCCGGGCUCGAACCUGGGACCUGCAUUUGUGACUGCAAGGCUAGAGUACGGUAGAGGGGGAUGGAAUUCCGCGUGUAGCAGUGAAAUGCGUAGAUAUGCGGAGGAACACCGAUGGCGAAGGCAAUCCCCUGGACCUGUACUGACGCUCAUGCACGAAAGCGUGGGGAGCAAACAGGAUUAGAUACCCUGGUAGUCCACGCCCUAAACGAUGUCAACUGGUUGUUGGGUCGUUUACUGACCUCAGUAACGAAGCUAACGCGUGAAGUUGACCGCCUGGGGAGUACGGCCGCAAGGUUG
rnacentral:rRNA from 1 species